CCCUGGGUGGCUCAGUCGGUUGGGCGUCUGACUUCGGCUCAGGUCAUGAUCUCAGGGUUUGUGGGUUCGAGCCCCAUGUCGGGCU
rnacentral:tRNA from 1 species